rnacentral:rRNA from 1 species
GAGGUCCUACGGGGCGCAGCAGUGAGGAAUAUUGGUCAAUGGGCGGGAGCCUGAACCAGCCAAGUCGCGUGAGGGAAGACGGUCCUACGGAUUGUAAACCUCUUUUGCCGGGGAGCAACGGGGUCCUUGCGAGGGCCCGAUUAGAAUACCCGGAGAAAAAGCAUCGGCUAACUCCGUGCCAGCAGCCGCGGUAAUACGGAGGAUGCGAGCGUUAUCCGGAUUUAUUGGGUUUAAAGGGUGCUUAGGCGGUCCGUUAAGUCAGCGGUAAACUUGCGGGG